rnacentral:rRNA from 1 species
CACCGGUGGCGAAGGCGGGUUUCUGGCCGAUAAUUGACGCUGAGAUGCGAAAGUGUGGGGGAUCGAACAGGAUUAGAUACCCUGGUAGUCCACACCGUAAACGAUGUACACUAGGUGUUGGGGGCAAGAGCNUUCAGUGCCGGCGCAAACGCAUAAGUGUACCGCCUGGGGAGUNUGCCCCCAAGGG